UGCAUUGAUAUAUGAGGUGUGAUGAG
rnacentral:piRNA from 1 species